rnacentral:rRNA from 1 species
GCAGUGAAAUCUCUAGGCUUAACUUAGAAACUGCUGCGGAUACUUAAUUUCUGGAGAGUAGUGGAGGAGAAUGGAAUUCUCGGUGUAGCGGUAAAAUGUGUUGAUAUCGAGAGGAACACCAGAGGCGAAAGCGAUUCUCUAUACUGACUCUGACGCUGAGAUACGAAAGCUAGGGUAGCGAAAGGGAUUAGAGACCCCUGUAGUCCUAGCCGUAAACGAUGAAUGCUAGAUGUCAGAGGUAUCGACCCCUCUGGUGUCGCAGUUAACGCGUUAAGCAUUCUGCCUGGGGAGUACGGCCGCAAGGCUAAAACUCAAAGGAAUUGACGGGGACCCGCACAAGCAGCGGAGCGUGUGGUUUAAUUCGAUGAUACACGAAGAAUCUCACCAAGGCUUGACAUAUAAGUGGUAGUGAAGUGAAAGCGGAACGACUCUUCGGGGAGCUUAUACAGGUGCUGCAUGGCUGUCGUCAGCUCGUGCCGUGAGGUGUAUGGUUAAGUCCCAUAACGAGCGCAACCCCUGUGGUAUGUUAUAUCUUUCAUGCCAAACUGCCAAGGUUAACUUGGGGGAAGGUGGGGAUGACGUCAAGUCAGCAUGGCCUUUAUGUCUUGGGCUACACACACGCUACAAUGGCUAGUACAAUGGGUUUGCCAAGCCGUGAGGUGGAGCUAAUCUUAUCAAAGCCAGCCUCAGUUCAGAUUGGAGUCUGAAACUCGACUCCAUGAAGUUGGAGUUGCUAGUAAUCGCCGGUCAGCAAUACGGCGGCGAUACGUUCUCGGGUCUUGUACACACCGCCCGUCACACCACGAAAGUCAACAACACUCGAAGUCACUGGGCUAACCUUGAAGUUUCUUCAAGGAGGCAGGUACCUAAAGUGGGGUUGGUGAUUGGGAUGAAGUCG